rnacentral:rRNA from 1 species
CCUACGUGGGGCAGCAGUGGGGAAUAUUGGACAAUGGGGGGAACCCUGAUCCAGCCAUGCCGCGUGUGUGAAGAAGGCCCUCGGGGUGUAAAGCACUUUCAGUGAGGAAGAACGCCUGGUGGUUAAUACCCAUCAGGAAAGACAUCACUCACAGAAGAAGCACCGGCUAACUCCGUGCCAGCAGCCGCGGGAAUACGGAGGGUGCGAGCGUUAAUCGGAAUUACUGGGCGUAAAGCGCGCGUAGGUGGCUUGAUAAGCCGGUUGUGAAAGCCCCGGGCUCAACCUGGGAACGGCAUCCGGAACUGUCAAGCUAGAGUGCAGGAGAGGAAGGUAGAAUUCCCGGUGUAGCGGUGAAAUGCGUAGAGAUCGGGAGGAAUACCAGUGGCGAAGGCGGCCUUCUGGACUGACACUGACACUGAGGUGCGAAAGCGUGGGUAGCAAACAGGAUUAGAUACCCUGGUAGUC